UGUUGUCGUCGAGGAGCGUGGGCACCCGAGUCCCCCCUGGCAACACAUAUGCCUCACGCGGUACGCCGGUGCGGAGAGCCGUGAGAUCUCCACUGGCGGACCGGCCGCCGCUGGGGAAGAUCUAGGCGGCGGAGCCUGUCUCAGUACAACGGGCCGAGCGUCGGCCUCUUCUCCUCCAAGAGGCUGUCGCCGCCUGUAUGGACGACCGCCACUCGGGAUUCCUUGGCCGCCACUCCGUGCUCCUGGCCGCGUCCUCCGAGGACGAAGAAGAGAGCAUGGCCUCGUGGGGGCUCACCGAGGAUUGUGGCUACGCCAACUUCUCCGACCUCAUAGCCUAGGAGAUGGAGUGUGCUCCAGCGACUCCAGCCUGUUCGGGAGGACGGGGACCUGCACGGCAACCGAGUUGACGACGAGGAACAACACGCUGAUGAGCACAGAUUUGGAUUUUAGGCCACCCAGUGCUCCCCACAACACAAGAUCGGUAGGAGCAUCACAAUUUCAACGCAUUUGGUGAUAUCAGAGACCACUUCUUUUUUCAAACACAGUUUGUUCUUAUUUUCUUUUGCGUGGAAGCACUUGAUAUGCAAACAGCAAACCCGAAAGAGGCUUUCAGAGGAUUAGCUUAUCAUCAGUGGCAGAUAUAUUGGCUCAAGAUGUUCAUGAACUUCCUACGAGGUAAGUGCCGUCGUGCCGGGUUGGGUCAUUUUUUCGACAUCAAAAGAAAGGCCGUGGAUUUUGUGCAGCUGGUGCCAAUGCAUGUGAAUAUUGAUAAUGAUAAUGCCUUCUCUACAUUUCAAAGCUUGUGGAGCAAACAAAUUUCCCAAUAGCCGCCAGUUUUCAGGGACUAUGAGAUCCUCUAUGUUGUAUGUCCAGGUCUGCAUUCUUUCUUGUGCCCCUGAAUCUCUUAUUUGGUUAUUUGUGUCUGGGCUUCCUCCUUCCCCCCCUUCAGCACUAGAUAGUGUUGGUAAUGGUGAAUUUGGAAUUAUCAGAAAUGCAAGGGCAAUGAAGCCAAUAGGUGAUGAUGUUGGAAUGCGCAAAAGAAAAUCUAAUGGGAGCCUAAUUUGAUGUUUUAUCCACUGUUAUAGCAUUGAUGCAAGGGCAAUGAAGCCAAUAGGUGAUGAUGUUGGAAUACCCAAAAGAAAAGCUAAUGGGAGCCUAAUUUGAUGUUUUAUCCACUGUUAUAGCAUUGAUUGUUUGCAAUGCGGAUGCAUGGUUGCUGCUCAAGUUCAGGGAUUCAGAUGACAUGGCUCAAAGAUAUCCACAUAGUGCAAUUCCAAAAUUGUGCUGGUCUUCUGAACUUGGAUAGAGGAGGUUAUUCUGAAGUAAGUGUGGGAAAAAAAGCCCUGGAUAGAUCAAAGAAAUACAUAAGAUGUCGCAGGUUGCACCAUGUUCUCGUGCUAUUACUAUAUUUGUUUAGUAGCCCGAUAUUAGCAAGAUUUGUGAUGUUGUACAAGUGCUUGGGAAGGACGUGCUAUCAACAUCAGCGAUUGUGGCGACCUGUCCUGUGUGUCACAGUACGCAGAGAAAGCUGUUGCAGCAACGAACAAAGGGCUUAACUUUUCCGGCCACACGAUGGGGACAGGGGGGCUGUGUUCAAGAUCCGGCAGGCCCUCUGCCCAAGAGUGUCCUGAAGCCCACGACGCUCCCCAAGGUUGUGGCUGCUUAUUUCUGAUGGUAGAGAAGCAAGAGCAACUAGAGUUUGAAGUCGCCUUAUUCGCAACCACUGGCAAAUAGAAGCAUGCAUUCUCAGUUCCUCUUGUAGAUAUAUGUGUGCUGGAAACAAAGAGCAAGCUGGGUGUCAUGUCCUUUUCCUCUGCUGUUGCAAACUUUUUUGUGUUGGAAACUGCACAUCUUUGUUGUUUGUUUUGGUUAUGUGCUGAUGUGUUGGUUGAUGAAAUAGAGUAGACUGGCUUUUACU